GAAGAAGUUCCAAGCCCACAAUGGGCUCUAUGAACUGUCCAGGGCAAAGUCGGUCUACCCUGAUGACACUCCCUGUUCCUUGAUGGUCACCAUGGCUGCUGCCCUCAACGUGAGCCCUCAGAAAUAAACUGAUAUCAAUAAUUAAUAUGGAUGGUGAUUGUGGCAAGGGGUGCCUCCAUAAGGUGCCAUCCAGAAGUCCCAGCCUGGAGCCAGUGGCUGCUAUUGCAAGACUCAUGGGGGAUGAUCUGCAGGCAAAGCUGCGAUUAGACACUUGACAUUUACUGCGAAAGGUACCAUCAGAGCACCUCUCCCUACCCUGCAGGAUAUCUAUACCAGAAAAGUACAACAACGGCCCAAAACUAUUUCCAAAAGACAUUUCACACCCUGACCAUGGACUGUUUAAACCACUGAGGUCAAGCAGACAUCUCUGUUCCCACAUGGCUAAAACAGAAAGGAAACAAGGAGUCUUUUCUCAAUAUGCUGCUCCAUCGCUCCACCCCUGAAACAUCAAUUUCGAUCUUGAACACAUGAGGAUGUUGGCUCAAGUUUGCCUGCAGACAGUCAAUAUAGACAGGUGUGUUGUUUUGAUUUGAUGUUUAGAUUGUCGUGCAUACAGUAUCUUUACAAUAAUGAUGGAACGAAUUCUCAUUUGGUUUUACCUACAUUGGGAUUAAAGGAACACUUAACCGUUUUUUUUAUAUUAAACUACAUUAUUCCCUUAACUAAGACGAGUUGAUACAUACCUCUCACGUUUCAAUGCGUGCACUCACUGGCUCUGGCGCGCGGCGCAAUUUUGAUGGCACUUAGCUAGCCCAAUGCAUUCAUUAGGAUCCAAACAGAGAUGAAGUUAGA